rnacentral:rRNA from 1 species
UACGUAGGGAGCAAGCGUUGUUCGGAAUUAUUGGGCGUAAAGAGCGCGUAGGCGGUUCGGUAAGUCUGAUGUGAAAUCCCAGAGCUCAACUCUGGAACUGCAUUGGAUACUGCCGGGCUUGAGUGUGGGAGAGGAGAGUGGAAUUCCCAGUGUAGAGGUGAAAUUCGUAGAUAUUGGGAGGAACACCCGUGGCUAAGGCGGCUCUCUGGACCACAACUGACGCUGAGGCGCGAAAGCUAGGGUAGCAAACUGG